rnacentral:rRNA from 1 species
UACGUAGGGGGCCUAGCGUUGUCCGGAAUCAUUGGGCGUAAAGCGCGUGUAGGCGGUCCGGUAAGUCCGCUGUGAAAGUCGGGGGCUCAACCCUCGGAUGCCGGUGGAUACUGUCGGGCUUGAGUACGGAAGAGGCGAGUGGAAUUCCUGGUGUAGCGGUGAAAUGCGCAGAUAUCUGGAGGAAUACCGGUGGCGAAGGCGGCAUCCUGGACCGGCAUUGACGCUGAUGAGCGAAAGCUAGGGGAGCAACGGG